rnacentral:sRNA from 1 species
CUGGCCCUGGAAGCUCACUCCGGCUCUGUCGCUGCAGAAUGAAUGGAACGCCUACUAUGAGGAGGUGGUGUACGUCCUAGAGGAGAUCGAGUACAUGAUCCAGAAGCUCCCUGAGUGGGCCGCGGAUGAGCCCGUGGAGAAGACGCCCCAGACUCAGCAGGACGAGCUCUACAUCCACUCGGAGCCACUGGGCGUGGUCCUCGUCAUUGGCACCUGGAACUACCCCUUCAACCUCACCAUCCAGCCCAUGGUGGGCGCCAUCGCUGCAGGGAACGCAGUGGUCCUCAAGCCCUCGGAGCUGAGUGAGAACAUGGCGAGCCUGCUGGCUACCAUCAUCCCCCAGUACCUGGACAAGGAUCUGUACCCAGUAAUCAAUGGGGGUGUCCCUGAGACCACGGAGCUGCUCAAGGAGAGGUUCGACCAUAUCCUGUACACGGGCAGCACGGGGGUGGGGAAGAUCAUCAUGACGGCUGCUGCCAAGCACCUGACCCCUGUCACGCUGGAGCUGGGAGGGAAGAGUCCCUGCUACGUGGACAAGAACUGUGACCUGGACGUGGCCUGCCGUCCAGUCUGGGAUUUUCACAGACGCAUCGCCUGGGGGAAAUUCAUGAACAGUGGCCAGACCUGCGUGGCCCCUGACUACAUCCUCUGUGACCCCUCGAUCCAGAACCAAAUUGUGGAGAAGCUCAAGAAGUCACUGAAAGAGUUCUACGGGGAAGAUGCCAAGAAAUCCCGGGACUAUGGAAGAAUCAUUAGUGCCCGGCACUUCCAGAGGGUGAUGGGCCUGAUUGAGGGCCAGAAGGUGGCUUA